CUGGGUGCUCGAAGUAUCACAUUCGAUCUACCUCUACCAUCAUGUUCACUAAGGCCGUCGUCGCUCUCGCCCUUGUGGCCGUCACUCUGGCUGCUCCUUCACAGCCUUCCUACGGAUAUGCUCCUCCUGCCACCUAUGACGCUCCCGCUAAGUACGACUUCAACUACGCCGUGAAGGACGACUACUCCGGCAACGACUUCG
rnacentral:lncRNA from 1 species